rnacentral:lncRNA from 1 species
CACACACACACCCAGCUGCCUGUAAGGCAUAAAACUGUCACGAUACAUUUAAUAGUCACGCUUCUCAGUGGGCCAUUCAGUUUAAAGCAGGCCUUCAGCCAACCCUUGGAUCAUCAGAGAACAAGGCUGAGCUCCAAAGACUUGUCAAGGAGACUGUGCCUUCAUUGUUCCAAUAUAUUUUACCUGCACCCCUAUUUUUUAAAAAGCACCUUCUUCCUCAAUAUACACACAUUUAUUUUAUAUAAAUUAUAUGAAUGUUCUAUUGUACUUCUUAAAACAAAACAUCAUACAUGUACCUCAUAAAACAAUCACAAAACCUGAACAAUUACUUUAAAAGGAUAAAAUUUUAAAUAUAACUGCAAAUAAGAGGUUAUACUUGCUUGCUAUGCUUCAAUGGAUCCCUUUGCACAAUCUCUCUCAGACAAAUGGGCCAGGGAUCAUGGGAAGGCUUGGAUGCUCUGGGAGCAUUUCUUGGAAACUAAAGGCUAACUGAGUAUGAAAACUGGAAUAAGCCCAGGUGUGGUGGCUCAUG